UUGGUGCCCUUAUAAAACAGACCCCAGACAGCUAUCUCACCCUUUUUUCCUACCAAGUGAAGACAAAUUGAGAAGACAGCCACUUGUGAAGGAGGAGGUAGACCCUCACCAAGACUGACCGGGCUGGCACCCUGAUCUGACUUCCAGCCUCCAGAAGGUUUAACAGGACUACAAUUUCCCCUAUGAAGUUCCUGGAAAGAAACCACUCAAUCCACUAAAAAUAUAGUUGGCUCCUGGAGGGCAUGCUUAUUCAAAGCCAACAUGGGCAUCCCCAUGGCCUCAACACAGCGCCUGGCACCUGUGCAUUCAAUCAAUGUCUGCAAAAUGACCACGAUCGGGCCAUAGUGGAUGCUCUCAAUGCCCUGAUCCACGUUCCUGAGCUCACUCUGAACCCAUCUGUGGCUUCACCGGACAGUUCCUAGCCACUGACAGCUUUUCUCACAUGAAGAACCAUGGGAGCUUCCUCAGCUCCUUGCAAGGAAGCCUGGUCAUGCUGGAGAUUAAUGCACCCAGGGCAACAUUCGGGCAAUGGGAGACAGCAUCAGCGUGUACACACCCCGAGACUGGCAUUUGCUCUGCUUUCUCAGAGGGCGUUUGCAGGACGGAGCUCCAGUUGUCCAUGGUGGUGACCUGCCCAUAAAUGCACUCAGGAUCAAUGUCCCCCCUUCCCUAUCUCAUGUCCCCACUCUCUCAUUUCUGUUUCCU
rnacentral:lncRNA from 10 species